UUACAUGAAAAAAGGAAUUGUAUAUAAACUAUUAUUUUUAUACUCUUGCCCAUGUUUACCUUUUCUUAUAUCUUUAUUCACAAACAUUUAUUGAUAAGCUACGAUAAGCUAGGAACUGUGCUAGCUGUUAGAGAUAAACAGUGAAAGUCUCUGACUUUAAAAGUUCACAGUCCUGGAGAGAAGACAAACAGAAACAGAUAAUUACAGUUUAGUGUGAAAAGAUAUAUAACUGGAUGUACAAAGCAUUUUGGAAGCACUAAGGGAAAAGAUGUUGGGAAAUUUGGGGUACACUUGGGUGAGCUAAAUGCUAUGAAAGUGUUAUAAGCCAAAGUUCUGUGGGAGCUUGGUUGAAGACAUAACUGAAUUUAUUUCAUCUCUACUCCUGUGCAUUUCCUUCCCUCUUAUAUUGUUUUGAAGCAAAUUCUGCACGUCAUCUCAUUCAUAAGUAUUUCAGUAUAUAGUUCUGAAAGAUAACGAUUUAAAAAAAAUAAACAGUAAUAUCAUUAUCACAUCUUUAAAAAAUAAUGUGGGGUGAACUUAAUUUGAAGGGGGAAUGAAAUGUUCAGUGGGUAGCCGAGGAGGGAGGAAUGGCAGAGAGGAGAGCAUGUUUAUUUGGAGGGAGCUGGGAAAGAUCUGUGAGUGUUCAGAGACUUCUUCUUUGGGGUGCAAAUAAUGUCUCUGAUGAUGUGAAUGGAGAAAAUGAUGAGAAGUGAGUGGCAAAAUAGGGAAAGGUACAGUCAUAAAGGCUCUUGAAUAUACUAAGAGGCCUGCUCUGCCUUUUUGAUAUGGGGAGUUUAGAGGGUUGUAAGCAGAUUAAUAGUAACGUGCUUAGAUUUACAGUUCAGAAAAGUAACCUUAACGGCACUGUCGAGAGCAGAUGAGGUAAGAGUAAAAUCAGAAACCAAAAAGAUACACUAUGGGAGGAGGUUGUAGUAGUCCAGCUGAGGAACAAAUGAUGAUGGUUUGAAAUAAGGUUCUAUCAGUAGAGUUUGACGGAAGCUGCUUCAUGACAUACUUAGAAAGUAGGAUUUGGAUUAAAUUUAGGGUUGAGGAAGAGGGAGGGUUUGAAGCUUCCUCUUAGGCUUCUGGCUUGUGCAGCUGGGCAGACAGUAAAACCAUCACUAGGGGCGGAGCACAUUAGACAAGCUGAGGGUCUAUAUACAUGGUUGCUGCCUGCCGCUGUCCACUGUACAGCCGCCAUGCCAGCAGCACCCUGUGGAUGCAGUGUGUGGUGGCCCUGGCCCUCUAGUUUAGGUGUUUUGACCAGUUGAUCUGAUGUUAGCUCCUAAUUAAGCACAACUUUUGUCAUAGUGUAGACAUCCAAUAAAAAGUUGUUCGGGGAAUGAAUGAUAAAUAAAUCCAAAUCUCUGUAUGUUUAAUACAUAAACUCUGAGGAUUAGUACAAUCUAAUGACUUGUUUAUUGAUUCUAGGGGCUGUUAGUACAGGAGACAUGGUAAAAUAUUUGUUUAUUCCUUUGUUCUGUGGGCUGAUUGUUGCGUGUGUAUGUAUCUUACCAUUUUUUUAAAUAUAUGCGCUCUAUCAGUUUUUGUCCUUAAACCAUUUGAUAAACCACAAUAAAAUUUUAGAAUUAAAAAAAUACAUAUCCACAUGGGAAUAUUUCGGAAAUGUGAGAAAAGUCUUAUUUAUUGAACUAAGACUAUUUUAGAGAAGAUGUCUAGCUUGUUCUGGUAAAAUUCAAAAAGGUUUGUGUUAACCCAUCUAAAAUUAUUGUCUUUACUGUAGGCAUUCUGAAAUUUAUUUAGAAAUCAACACUAAAAUUAGUGAAUUAAGCUCUCAGUUUAACGUCCAGUCAGGAUGUCAGAUUUACACUAAGAAUAAAGUGCUCAAAUAAGGUAAAGAUGUUGUAGUCCUUCCCUCUACCCACGACAAAAAAGAUUGUGUUAGAAAGUCUACAUCUUGUAAGUCUUAGAAGCAGAUGGAGCUUCAGAUUGGCCUUGUGUUUCAUAUUUACUGUUUAUCUGCUUGAGACUUAGAUAAAAAUUAUCUGAUAGCUUGCCCUUGGAACAGAUCUCUGAUUACUUGGUGGGAUAAUGGAGUUGGUCAGUGGAGAGAGAGGAGGAGAGAGGGAGAGAGAGAACAUGGCUGUCCUUUCAUAGGGAUCCUAGAGAAGCAACAUGGUGUAUGGAAAUAGCACCUGUAGCUUAGAGUCAGCCAGCCUUCAACUUGGCUGCCAUUCCUGCUGCUCAGCAAGUUACUGACUUCACUUUGGCCUUAGUUUUCCUUAUUUGUGAAAAGGCAGUAAUACUACCUGACCUACAGAGUGGUUGUGAGAAUUAGAGGUCAUGCGCACCAGGCAUCCAGCACACAAAGCAUGCCUAUCAGUAACUACUGGCCAUUGGUGUUAUCCACACAGAGUAUCCUCUGUGGGUGGCAUCCAUUGGGGUAGCAAGACUAACUCUGGACUGGCUUCAUUCAAGACCUUCCUGUUGUCCCAUCAGGGGAUUUGGGGGUAAAGGCAGGCAGAGGGUGGGAUUGUAAGUCAUUACUUUCCCCCCUGAAUUUGUUAAGAAGUCAAUUCUUGCUUAACUAGUUCUUAAUUAACUAGGGGUCUUAGACCAAUUCAGUGCAUUUUGGCAAAUAUUUUUCAUUAAUUAUAUCUCUGACACAAUGCUGGAGAUCACUGUAACUUAGGAUAGGCACUUGAAUGUCUCUGAUGCAUUAAUUCCCUGUCUACAGAAUGAGACUAAUGUCAUUAAGCCUUUGAACCCCUCUAAGAAAGUUUCAAGAAUUAAAGGAGAUCAGAUUAUAACCAAUACUUUCAAAUCUUUUAUAGGCUAUAUAAUAAAAUUAAGAUGAAAAUUUAACCUCAGAAGGAGGGUUCUUGAGGAGGAAGGUAAGAGAGGGAGGUCUAAAAGUGAACUUUUGCACUUCCCUGGUGGCGCAGUGGUUGUGAGUCUGCCUGCCGAUGCAGGGGACACGGGUUCGUGCCCUGGUCCAGGAAGAUCCCACGUGCCGCGGAGCAGAUAGGCCCGUGAGCCAUGGUCGCUGAGCCUGUGCUCUGCAACGGGAGAGGCCACAACAGUGAGAGGCCCGCGUACCACACA